GUCUUUCUGUGACAGGUCAUAAAUUAAAGAAUGUGCAACAAAUAUAAAUGCUUUCUCAUUUCUUUAGGGUAUAGCUUCUUCAGGAAGCAGCCAGUAUAGUGGACAGGGCUUUUCAGGAGGCAGCCAGUCUGGUGGACAGGGUGGAUGUGU